GUCGAGGGCUUUAAAUGCACCAACAUUUCUGUUAGGCUGAACCUGUCUUGUUGUUGCCGCUUCACUUCUUUAAUUUAGUUAACGCGACUUCUCACAAAAUCGAUCUUUCUGCAAGAAAAGACACAAUUGUGGCUGGAUGCGAAGUUGCAGUUGCUUCCAACAAUGUCAAGUUGCCCAACCGUCCACCUAACUUUGCCGCAAUGGGACGGGGGAUCACGGAAAAUUCGCUUAAUUUACAUGGUGAAUUUGACGUCGUUCAGACUGACACUGUGUCCUGACGAGGGUCCAGUGGUUCCUCUCUAUUUGGGAGCUGAUGUCUUCUCCAACACUGAUAUCCGAACAGAGAACCAUCCCCGAUACCAUGCCAAGUUUGCCAAAAAAGGACUGGCCACAAAAAUACAUUUUUCCUCAGCAUUCAGGUUCCAGGGGUUGAAGGUACCUACUACAAAUAACAGCCUGUGGUUCUACAGUGUUCAAGGACUUUUCCGUGUAGCCUUUGAAAUGUACAGUAAGCAAGACCAGCUGGCUGUUCUAGAGAGCUUCCAGGAUGUUUGGAAAUCACAGAUAAGUGACAGCCCUCUGAAAAUGAGUUACAGCCUCAGUGAGAACCUCGACCUCUCGGCACCCAACACAGUGUGUGAUACACAAUUAAGAAAUGACAUGUCACAACCUCAGCAUUGCCAGGUUGACACAGGUGAGGCAUCGGCAGAUCACGAUUAUUGUUCUUUUCCUAAGCAGAGCUCCCAAACUGAGCAGAGCAAACUCGUUGUGAGACAGAAACUGCACAGCCUAGCUGACAAACUCUCCUCUGAGACUCUAAGCUACACUGAUCAGCUGGAAACUGUUUUGUUGCUUCUGGAGAGCAUUGAUCAAUACAUGAAUGGAUGUCUAGAAGAAAAACAUGUGACUGAAACUGUGUUAGCCCUGCUAAAGGCUAAAGAAUGGGGCUCUGUGUAUUCAAGUUCCCUGCUUAGUUGUAUAGGGCGCUGGCUUGGCCAACAGUUCCAUGCAGCAAACAGCUGCAUCAGCCAAAAAGUGGAGGACUUCAAAGUUCAGCAUAUUGAGCAAAUAAGCGACUUGCCACCUGCUGAGGAACUAGCCACAGAACUUUUCCCUGAAGCCAUGCAAAAACUGCUGCUUCACUGGAUGGGCUUAAGUGAAGAGUCUGCACUGGAAAAGAGACACAGUGAAUACCCAAUCCUCCUCCUUAUCCUCGAGUUUGCAAACCACAACCUCAUUACUGGUGUGGCUCACGUGCUGUACUCCAGUCUCAUAUGCAAGUAA
rnacentral:lncRNA from 1 species